UACAGAGGUCCCGAGCGUUGUUCGGAUUCAUUGGGCGUAAAGGGUGCGUAGGCGGCGGGGUAAGUUUGAUGUGAAAUCCCGGGGCUCAACCCUGGAAUUGCAUUGAAUACUACCUUGCUAGAGUACCGGAGAGGAAACUGGAAUUUACGGUGUAGCAGUGAAAUGCGUAGAGAUCGUAGGGAAGACCAGUGGCGAAGGCGAGUUUCUGGACGGUAACUGACGCUGAGGCACGAAGGCCAGGGGAGCAAACGGG
rnacentral:rRNA from 1 species